CCCGUCGCUCCUACCGAUUGAGUGAUCCGGUGAAUAAUUCGGACUGCAGCAGUGUUCGGUCACGAACGUUGCAGCGGAAAGUUUAGUGAACCUUAUCACUUAGAGGAAGGAGAAGUCGUAACAAGGUUUCCGUAGGUGAACCUGCGGAAGGAUCAUUC
rnacentral:rRNA from 1 species